rnacentral:rRNA from 1 species
GAUGAACGCUAGCUACAGGCUUAACACAUGCAAGUCGAGGGGCAGCAUUUUUAUAGCAAUAUAAAAGAUGGCGACCGGCGCACGGGUGAGUAACACGUAUCCAACCUGCCGUCUACUCUUGGACAGCCUUCUGAAAGGAAGAUUAAUACAAGAUGGCAUCAUGAGUCCGCAUGUUCACAUGAUUAAAGGUAUUCCGGUAGACGAUGGGGAUGCGUUCCAUUAGAUAGUAGGCGGGGUAACGCCCACCUAGUCUUCGAUGGAGUAGGGGUUCGUGAGAGGAAGGUCCCCCGACCAUUGG